rnacentral:tRNA from 1 species
GAUUUCGUGGUGUAAUGGUCAGCGCGCUCGACUCGUAUUGGAGAGAUCCGUGGUUCGAGUCCCGGUGAGGGCA